rnacentral:misc_RNA from 1 species
AAGUUUUGCGAAGAAGAGCAUUUGAGGAAAUUCUACAGAUCAUCUUGGCAAAAGGGUGAUUCGCCAAUACCGAUGUUACUGGUGCGAGCCUUCGAGUCUACUUUGGCAUUUGGGAUAUUGUUAUGGUCUUUGUUUGAAGCCGCGAUACCUCAAUGGCUGGUUUAUCUCACUACUUGGGGUAUAAUAAUGGUUUUUGCAAUGGCGGCCAGCGGCCUCUACGUAUCACUGUGUGCUGCGAAAAAAAUGAUACCGGAGGUAGGCAAGCCACCGUGGUACGUAAUGCUGUACUGGGUACUGUUCAACAUAUCAGUUAGUUUAGCCAUCGUUGUAACCCUGCUAUAUUGGAGGUUAUUAUCCGAAAAUGCUAGUAAAUAUGGGAUCCAUGAACGUUACUUCUGGUUGGAAACUUCAUUGCAUGGGUUUAAUGCCGUGUUAGUUCUGAUCGAGUUAUUUGCGUCUCGGACCCCAGUGCGUUUAGCGCAUAUCUACCAGCCGCUUCUGUUGGGCGUCGUGUACACUAUAUUUUCCAAGAUAUAUCAGAAGGCUGGGGGCACUGGCGCACACGGAGAACCGUACAUCUACAAGUUUCUGGACUGGAGCGAGCCGCAGGUCACGUUGCAAACGACGAUCGGCGUUGCUUUAAUGAUCAUCGUUCUAUACGUCUUUUUGUGGGCUUUAGCGUUUGUCCGAGACUGGUUGAGUCGGCUUUGUUGCUCUACUAAACAACCGAUAAUCGAACACAUUGUACCUAUCACUGUAUAGAAUCAGGAUCCAAUACGCUAAGUGACUAUAUCGGAUCCUCCUAGAUAUAAUGCAAUUUUUCAAAAUAUUAUGUUGACUUCUUAAAUGAUUAAUGCAUUACGAUCUUCUCAGAACAUAUUAUUAUUCUUUAGGAGAAUACUGCUUUUUAGGACACUACGGCAGUAUGGUACAUAAUUUUGGAUCGGUGUAGGUACAUUACGUAUAAUUUUUUCAACUUUGUGUAACUAUUCAUUCGCCAAUAGUUAACAAUUUGUAGAAAAUUGUGCAUAUUUAAGGAAUAACCACUACUCCGGUUUUUAAAAGGUUCAUAAAAAUAAAAAUAUGUAAGCUAAGAUAUACAGAAUAAAGCGCCAUCUAUUGUUGA